CCUGGCUCAGGACGAACGCUGGCGGCGCGCCUAACACAUGCAAGUCGAACGAGCGAGAGAGAGCUUGCUUUCUCAAGCGAGUGGCGAACGGGUGAGUAACGCGUGAGGAACCUGCCUCAAAGAGGGGGACAACAGUUGGAAACGACUGCUAAUACCGCAUAAGCCCACGGUGCCGCAUGGCACAGGGGGAAAAGGAACAAUCCGCUUUGAGAUGGCCUCGCGUCCGAUUAGCUAGUUGGUGAGGUAAUGGCCCACCAAGGCGACGAUCGGUAGCCGGACUGAGAGGUUGAACGGCCACAUUGGGACUGAGACACGGCCCAGACUCCUACGGGAGGCAGCAGUGGGGAAUAUUGCACAAUGGGGGAAACCCUGAUGCAGCGACGCCGCGUGGAGGAAGAAGGUCUUCGGAUUGUAAACUCCUGUUGUUGAGGAAGAUAAUGACGGUACUCAACAAGGAAGUGACGGCUAACUACGUGCCAGCAGCCGCGGUAAAACGUAGGUCACAAGCGUUGUCCGGAAUUACUGGGUGUAAAGGGAGCGCAGGCGGGAAGACAAGUUGGAAGUGAAAUCUAUGGGCUCAACCCAUAAACUGCUUUCAAAACUGUUUUUCUUGAGUAGUGCAGAGGUAGGCGGAAUUCCCGGUGUAGCGGUGGAAUGCGUAGAUAUCGGGAGGAACACCAGUGGCGAAGGCGGCCUACUGGGCACCAACUGACGCUGAGGCUCGAAAGUGUGGGUAGCAAACAGGAUUAGAUACCCUGGUAGUCCACACCGUAAACGAUGAUUACUAGGUGUUGGAGGAUUGACCCCUUCAGUGCCGCAGUUAACACAAUAAGUAAUCCACCUGGGGAGUACGACCGCAAGGUUGAAACUCAAAGGAAUUGACGGGGGCCCGCACAAGCAGUGGAGUAUGUGGUUUAAUUCGACGCAACGCGAAGAACCUUACCAAGUCUUGACAUCCCUUGACGAACAUAGAAAUAUGUUUUCUCUUCGGAGCAAGGAGACAGGUGGUGCAUGGUUGUCGUCAGCUCGUGUCGUGAGAUGUUGGGUUAAGUCCCGCAACGAGCGCAACCCUUAUGGUCAGUUACUACGCAAGAGGACUCUGGCCAGACUGCCGUUGACAAAACGGAGGAAGGUGGGGAUGACGUCAAAUCAUCAUGCCCUUUAUGACUUGGGCUACACACGUACUACAAUGGCGUUAAACAAAGAGAAGCAAGACCGCGAGGUGGAGCAAAACUCAGAAACAACGUCCCAGUUCGGACUGCAGGCUGCAACUCGCCUGCACGAAGUCGGAAUUGCUAGUAAUCGCAGAUCAGCAUGCUGCGGUGAAUACGUUCCCGGGCCUUGUACACAC
rnacentral:rRNA from 1 species